UUUUCAGCUGCGUAGCUGACUAACGAUAACUACUGACUGGACCGAGUGGAGUGGAGACUGGUUUUACGACUGGAGUCCCGACUGCAGCGGUCAGAGUCUGCUUUUAAAAGAUGUUUCUCAUCAGAAAUCAUCUGAAGCUGAGCAACUGGAACAUCCUCUCUUUGGGCCUCAUCCAGUAUGGUGGCAGUCCAUAUCAUUCUCAACACUCAACUGUGCUCUUACCCAAGUGGCCUCAUCCUGAUGCUUCUUUCAUUACACUGAACAUCAUUGUCUGAACAUCAGCUAUGCGUGCGAGCUGAGUGCCACACUGGAGUUCAUGCAUAGAUAUUAUUUAAAGCCUUGUCACAUUUCUUUGUGUUCUAAAUGCCUGAGUUGAUUUUAGAUGAGUAAACGUAUGUAAACUGUACAUUAUAUUCUACUUAUAAAGGGAAUAUAUAAUGCUUUCCCUUUCAUUUAUUGUGCUAUGUAGCUUUUUGUGCAUGUAAGAUAGAAAGCUGAAAGUAUAUGCCAGAGGGAGAAACUCUCUCCCACAGAAACCACUUUUCACAGCUGCCUGAGGGCUGGAGUUCCCCAGCCCUUUUCCUUUGUUACAAGAUGAUGUAAUCCCAUAACACAAUCCUUAUUGCCCACCUACCAGCGAGCUUGGCAUGCCCUCACACAACACAACGCAUCUGCUGGAGGCCGUGUAUUGGCAGAACCGCUCUGGCGCUUGAUUAGUCAGAACCAAGUGAGCAAGCUGACUAAUCAGAGCGUACUGGGCUCAUCAGGAAGGAGGGGCUUAAAGACACAGGAGCUCUAACAGAGCAUUUCAGACAGAGGAUGCAUUUUCCUCAUAUCUCUGACAAAGAAGACUAACACAAAAAAACAGAGGAAGAAGUGAUGGGCUGUGAAUCUGACAGUUCUCUCACUCAUCAUGGAUUUAAUUCUAAAAGGAGAGAUCGGUAAAAGCAUUAGCAGUGUGAUAUCAGUAAUGUUAGAGUUCAGGCAUUAUGACAUGCACAUCGAGUUAUCUGUGUCCUGUAUCCUGUGUCCACAUAUGUCCACAUAACAUGUCUACAGCUUGGCUCUAUUCCAGCUACCAGCACAUCUGAGUCUGGUAUUAAUUGUUUGACAGCUGAUCAUUAUCUGGCUCAGGUAUGUUAGGAGUGCUGCUGGGGUUCAGAUCUCUGUAUUACUUUGUUGGUCAGUUUUUCUUUUUAGUCCAUAUGAAUUUGUCUUAAAAUUGUUUCCUAUCAUUUAUAAUUGUUCAUAGUACUAUGUUGCUAAUAACUUUAACAUAACUUAUAUACGGAAUAACAGCAGACCUUAAAAUCAGAUUCAUUGGUUUGUGGAACUGUAUAUAUAUUGCAGUAUAUUUCAAAUUUCUACACAAAGUCAGUUAACAUGUUUUUCCUUGUCUGUAGAACAUAUAAAGUGUGAUGAUGCUAUUGUACUAUGCAUAUACACAGUUGUAAAAAGAAACAAUAAUUGUAAUCUAUAUUUUUUGAAAGCUAUGUCUGUGCUUUUUCAUGGGCUAUGCUUUGGAUUGCAGAGUAAAUUAUUUGAAUGUAGAAGUAUUCUGAAUAUUUAACAGAUUAACAAGGAAAUACAGAACUGUAUAAUAGUGAUUUUCCAUACCCCUUUAAAUUACAUUACUGUAAUUUAUGCGUACGUAUUAUUGUUCUUGUUCUCCUCCUUAUUAUUAUUAUUUU